rnacentral:rRNA from 1 species
GACGAACGCUGGCGGCGUGCCUAAUACAUGCAAGUCGAGCGGACCUUUGAAGAGCUUGCUCUUUGAGGUUAGCGGCGGACGGGUGAGUAACACGUGGGCAACCUGCCUGUAAGCUUGGGAUAACUCCGGGAAACCGGUGCUAAUACCGAAUACAACAGAGGACCGCAUGGUCCUUUGUGAAAAGACCUUGUGUCACUUAAAGAUGGGCCCGCGGCGCAUUAGCUUGUUGGUGGGGUAACGGCCUACCAAGGCGACGAUGCGUAGCCGACCUGAGAGGGUGAUCGGCCACACUGGGACUGAGACACGGCCCAGACUCCUACGGGAGGCAGCAGUAGGGAAUCUUCCACAAUGGACGAAAGUCUGACGGAGCAACGCCGCGUGAGCGAUGAAGGUUUUCGGAUCGUAAAGCUCUGUUGUUAGGGAAGAACCGCCGGGACAACCUCCCGGUCUGACGGUACCUAACGAGAAAGCCCCGGCUAACUACGUGCCAGCCGCCGCUGUAA